CAAGAAGUUAAUCAUUUAUUCUCGUCCAGAAAGGAAAGAAUUUUAUCCUGAGAUAGUAAAUAAGCUUGGAGAAGUUGACAAUGGAAGCUGCCUAGUGCUAUUCUCACGCUUUGACAGUUACAAGCUGGAGAGAAUUGUGGGAACACCUGCAUCCAAGAAGAUGGUGUCCUCCAUGAAGAACACCUUUGUCUUCUCUUAGCAGUUCAGUUCUUGUUGGCUGUAUGAAAAGAAAC